GACGAACGCUGGCGGCGUGCUUAACACAUGCAAGUCGAACGGACAGGCCCUGCUUUUGUGGGGUGCUCGAGUGGCGAACGGGUGAGUAACACGUGAGUAACCUGCCCUUGACUUUGGGAUAACUUCAGGAAACUGGGGCUAAUAUCGGAUAGGAGCUCCUGCUGCAUGGUGGGGGUUGGAAAGUUUCGGUGGUUGGGGAUGGAUUCGCGGCUUAUCAGCUUGUUUGUGGGGUAGUGGCAUACCAAGGCUUUGACGGGUAGCCGGCCUGAGAGGGUGACCGGCCACAUUGGGACUGAGGGACGGCCCAGACGCGUACGGGAGGCAGCAGUGGGAAAUAUUGCACAAUGGGCGGAAGCGUGAGGCAGCAACGCCGCGUGCGGGAUGACGGCCUUCGGGUUGUAAACCGCUUUCGCCUGAGACGAAGCGGGAGUGACGGUAAUGGGUAAAGAAGCAACGGCUAACUACGUG
rnacentral:rRNA from 1 species